AUCUCAGUUGGUAGAGUGCUUGCCUUGCAUGCAUAAGGCCCUGGGUUCAAUCCCCAG
rnacentral:tRNA from 1 species